rnacentral:rRNA from 1 species
GACGAACGCUGGCGGCGUGCUUAACACAUGCAAGUCGAACGGAAAGGCCCUGCUUUUGUGGGGUGCUCGAGUGGCGAACGGGUGAGUAACACGUGAGUAACCUGCCCUUGACUUUGGGAUAACUUCAGGAAACUGGGGCUAAUACCGGAUAGGAGCUCCUGCUGCAUGGUGGGGGUUGGAAAGUUUCGGCGGUUGGGGAUGGACUCGCGACUUAUCAGCUUGUUGGUGGGGUAGUGGCUUACCAAGGCUUUGACGGGUAGCCGGCCUGAGAGGGUGACCGGCCACAUUGGGACUGAGAUACGGCCCAGACUCCUACGGGAGGCAGCAGUGGGGAAUAUUGCACAAUGGGCGGAAGCCUGAUGCAGCAACGCCGCGUGCGGGAUGAUGGCCUUCGGGUUGUAAACCGCUUUCGCCUGUGACGAAGCGUGAGUGACGGUAAUGGGUAAAGAAGCACCGGCUAACUACGUG